AUAGCUUCUUGGCCUUUUGGCUAAGAUCAAGUGUAGAUGCCUGAAAACAUUAAUUUUAGCUUUUUUAAGUAUGUAACACAGAUUGAAUUAUAAUGAUAAGUCCAAACUAGGCCUCAACUACACUUCAAUUCCUUUACUUCCUUCAUCUAUUUUAUGGCACUUUCUGAGAAUGUGGGAGAGUUUAU